rnacentral:lncRNA from 1 species
GCUUUUACCUCCUGUCUUCACUAAUAUUACCAUUUCUCUCAAGAGAGACUGAACAGCAGCAGACCUUUCAAGAGGUCUCAGAAGACCCUACUACAUUGUAUAUCUACAGUUAAGACAGAGAAUUGUGUUCAAAUGAAGAAAGUCCAAAAGACUGAGAAUGGCAUCACUGGAAAGGCCAUGGGGGUGAGUUAUGUAUCAAGUCUCAAGAGUCAGCUCAGAAUUACUACACAGACCAAU